GCGGGUCUCCUUAAAGGAAAAUGAAAUCCCCAAAUUUUUUAAACCCCCACCUUGUUCUCCCUCGUCUCCACCCCGGCCCUCACCCACAUUCGCCGCCUCCAAUCAUUGUUGCCUCCUCUAGCCUCAGACUGCGCGUACUGUUCGUCUUAUAACAAAAUCGUAAGGGAUCUAGGGUUUUUUUCAAAAGGAUGCUCACUGCAAAGUUCGUUACAUAUGCUCACUUCCGCUCACUUCUUACCUCCGGAGACCUCCUCUCGACUCUUCCCACUGGCGACCUCGAGCUCAUCUCACCUCACCGAGACUGCAACGACUGAUCAAUUUUACAAGCCUUCGUUUAAGAGCCAACCAUUUACGACUCCUCACGCUGACAAAAAUAUGAUUUAGGGAUCGUUACAUUAUGCUUAUGUCAAACUUACAAGGAGAUUAAGGGCAUUGUGACUUAUCCUUGUCGCCAUCUAUGAACUAGUGAAGCCCAAUAUAGGUCGCAUCGUUUAAGGUAUAGGUAGCCUUUCCUCUUCCACAAAUCAACAUGCAAGUUGUCUUCGUUGUUCCUCCCAUCAGGUAAGUUGAUGGUCGCUCAUUCUCGACCAUCUUUAUUCUCUCUCUCUCUCUCUCUCUCUCUCUCUCUCUCUCGAUAUUUCAUCUACAUUCUCCCUUUUCUGUUGAAUAAUGUUUCUCUGUUGAGAAAACUUCAAUCGAUUCCAUAAAUUAGGGGUCCACUGUAAGUCGAUCUUAUUUCCAAGAGUUAUGAUGAUAGGUUUCAAGAAAAAAGAUGGGACGAAACAACCAACAUCUGAUGUUGAAAUAUGCAUCCGUUUCCGUUUCAGUUUCAUCUCUUCAUGUGUACAUUAGGUUUUUAUCAAAGUCAUAUAUGGUAUCGAAUAUGGAUCACAAAUUGGAAUCGAUGGGGUUAGUACCUUGUUUCAUCAAACCUUUUUACAUUCAUAUGUGUUAUGGUGUCAUGAAAACCAAAACAAGAAGAUAAAUGGGAAAAAUGAUAAAUUUUUACCAAUUUUGGUUGAAAAGAAACCAGUUUUUGUUAUUUUUUAAGAUUGGUUCAUUCAAAUGGAAAAAAUUGUUUAAUGCUUUAGUUUUUGUUUGCAAUUUUAAACUUUAAUGUAGGUGACCUGAAACGAAUCUGUGAGACUGGUCUUGGCGUUGUUUCUCGAUGCUCUCUGACUAAACAUGUUUUUAAGAUGGGCAAACAAUACCUUGCAAAAUUGGGGAUAUGAAUCAAAGCAUCAAUAUUGUUCUGGUGCAUCUUAAUUGUCGUAUUUGGAACUCAAGUUUGAAGUCUAUUUGGAAUUUAAAUCCGGGAUUCCAAAAUUGGAGAGGCAUUUUGACAUUCCCGUUAGUCGAUCUUUGAAUGCUAUGAACAAGGAGAUAUAUGAUUAAUAAUCCAUAAUACUUUAAUGGCUAUUGUAGACUACUUACAAAUUACAAAUUCCAUACCAAAAAUGAUUGAUUGACCAUUGAAUUCAUCCAUAAUUCUUAUCAGUUCUGCUGGGGCAUCAUCACCUGUUGUUGCCACUAAUGCUGGUAGUACAGAUUGGUUUGUUCAUUCAUACUUCCUAGAGUGUAUGAGAUACAUUUUUCUAUCUUCCGCGGUUCUAGUUGAGUUCUAUUUCCUAUAUCAUUGCUAAUUAUUUCUGUUUUCGAGAGAAAUUGCAACAUAAAUUGUAGUUAUUUACAAUUGUUGAGGAUUACUUAUUUUUUUAUUGUGUUACAGGAUUGUGAAUUGCUUUAUCUUGCUGAAUAAGAACCUAUGUGGUUAUCCAUUGACAUGUGUUAUGUGCACUAUAUUUAGGACAAAAGGGCAUUUUAGUCAUUUCUUUUUCUUUUCUCAGGGUGACAGUAUCCUAGCAGAUUCAAGCACAGAGCAACUGGAGUUUUUUAUGUUGAUGUUGGUGGGAUUGUUUUAUGUUGAUGAUUCAAAUAGUCUUUCAAAUGCCUUUGAGAAGGUAAUUGGCUUUUUGAUGGUGAAUUAGCUCCUGAUAGAAUCUCUGCUAUGGUGGGUGUGAAAGAGCUGAGAAAAAUCGCCCCUUUGAGAAGCUGCUGCAGCAGCUCUUAUUCCUUCAGCAGAAGUGCAACUUAAUUUCCAGAAAAGAAGGGGCCAUGGAAUCUUUUCUUUGUUACAUCCAAGGUUCAGCGGUGUGUUAGGCGAAGCUCUAGACUUGGCUGCUAGAUGGAGCAGGGAUGUGGUUAGUAGUUGAGUUAAAUCAGAUGUUUUGUUUCAAAUAAUAGUUAUAUAUUUAGUUUCCCUUUGAUAGUUUAAUGUUAGUUUGGUUCAGAUAACUGUUGAGAAGGUUGUUUUGGAACAAAGCAAUAGCUAGUAUGAGCUUCAAGGCGAAUACGUGUUUCCCGGGUCACAAGCUGGAAAUGAAACAGGAAAAGGGAACUUAUUAAGAAGAGCAAUGGCUGGUCAUUUAAGGAGUGUGAUAUCUUCUAUGGGUCACUGGAGAAUGAGGCUUGAGGUUCCACGUGCUGAAAUUGCUAAGAUGCUUCCACUUGCUAGGCUUGUUUCCCGAAAUACCGAUGCAGCUCUUUAGUUUAGAUUAAAGGUCAUCCUCAUUCAUUCAUUCAUUUAUUAAGUUUUAGUCUAUCAUCCAAACCCAAAAAGCUCUCAUCUAAAUCUAAUGUCUUCUAUGUGCAAAACACAUGAGAAUGAAUGAAUGAAUGCCUUCUACCAAAAUAUAGCAAACACAGCCAAUCCUAAUCCUGUUCAAAUACCAUAAGAGAGCAAAGUAAAGCAGGUUCCAUUCCCAUACAUUGGUUUAGUAAACAGACUAAAUAAAGUAGGUUGCUAUUUGUAGCAAAACUCUAUCUAGUCUAGGGGUAUAUAAAUAUUAUAUGAUUUUAGGUGAUGUUGUUCCCCAUUACCUUAAUGUUUAUCUUGCAUUGGGAGAUAUACGUGUUGCAAAGUGUAUCAAGUCUGACUACCCAUGAGUCCCAUUGGAGGAAGCUCAAGGUUCUUUACUUCUCUUACACUGUAAUAAUCCAUCUUCACACUUAUUUUGUAGUUAUGUUUUUUUUGCAGGCAAUAUAGAUACUUUGAGCAAGUUCAUCUUUUUAGAGUCAAUGAGCAGUGUUACUAAGGGAGAGUGGAGACAAGUGAGGCACACAUUUAAAAAAAUCAGCACAAAUUUUGUUUAUAGUGAGGCACACAUUAGGUUAUUAGAACUAUUAGUUUGUAAAUUUUUGUUACAACUUCUAUUGAUUUUUUUUAUCUUUCCAUGGAAUGAUUAUUUGUAUGACAUUAAAUUUAUG